AGUGAACGCUGGCGGUAGGCCUAACACAUGCAAGUCGAACGGCAGCACAGUAAGAGCUUGCUCUUACGGGUGGCGAGUGGCGGACGGGUGAGGAAUACAUCGGAAUCUACUUUUUCGUGGGGGAUAACGUAGGGAAACUUACGCUAAUACAGCAUACGACCUACGGGUGAAAGCAGGGGAUCUUCGGACCUUGCGCGAUUGAAUGCGCCGAUGUCGGAUUAGCUAGUUGGCGGGGUAAAGGCCCACCAAGGCGACGAUCCGUAGCUGGUCUGAGAGGAUGAUCAGCCACACUGGAACGUGGACGCGGUCCAGACUCCUACGGGAGGCAGCAGUGGGGAAUAUGGGACAGUGGGCGCAAGCCUGAUCCAGCCAGACCGCGUGGGUGAAGAAGGCCUUCGGGUUGUAAAGCCCUUUUUUUGGGAAAGAAAAGCAGCAGGUUAAUACCCCGCUGUUCUGACGGUACCCAAAGAAUAAGCACCGGCUAACUUCGUG
rnacentral:rRNA from 1 species